AGGGAAAGGUGAAAAGCACCCCGGAAGGGGAGUGAAAGAGAACCUGAAACCGUGUGCCUACAAGUAGUUAGAGCCCUAUGCUUUAUGCAGGGUGAUAGCGUGCCUUUUGUAGAAUGAACCGGCGAGUUACGAUUUCAUGCAAGGUUAAGCUGAAGAGGCGGAGCCGG
rnacentral:rRNA from 1 species